CCUACGGGUGGCAGCAGUGGGGAAUAUUGCACAAUGGGGGAAACCCUGAUGCAGCGACGCCGCGUGAAGGAAGAAGUAUUUCGGUAUGUAAACUUCUAUCAGCAGGGAAGAAAAUGACGGUACCUGACUAAGAAGCCCCGGCUAACUACGUGCCAGCAGCCGCGGUAAUACGUAGGGGGCAGGCGUUAUCCGGAUUUACUGGGUGUAAAGGGCGCGUAGGCGGUUUAGCAAGUCAGAAGUGAAAGCCCGGGGCGCAACGCCGGGACUGCUUUUGAAACUGUUGAACUAGAGUGCAGGAGAGGGAAGUGGAAUUCCUAGUGUAGCGGUGAAAUGCGUAGAUAUUAGGAGGAACACCAGUGGCGAAGGCGGCUUACUGGACUGUAAAUGACGCUGAGGCUCGAAAGCGUGGGGAGCAAACAGGAUUAGAUACCCGAGUAGUC
rnacentral:rRNA from 1 species